UACGAAGGGGGCUAGCGUUGUUCGGAUUUACUGGGCGUAAAGGGUGCGUAGGCGGAUUUUUAAGUCAGGGGUGAAAUCCCAAGGCUCAACCUUGGAACUGCCUUUGAUACUGGGAAUCUUGAGUCCGGGAGAGGUGAGUGGAACUGCGAGUGUAGAGGUGAAAUUCGUAGAUAUUCGCAAGAACACCAGUGGCGAAGGCGGCUCACUGGCCCGGAACUGACGCUGAGGCACGAAAGCGUGGGGAGCAAACAGG
rnacentral:rRNA from 1 species